AACAGCGAUCCUCCCAGCUCUAGUUCAGGGUAAACCCCCAAGCCCCACCCACCAAACUCGGGAGGCAGAAGCCCUUCCUCAAUACUCCGCGUUACAGCCCUCCCAAGAUACUCCACAGAACACCCACUGGGGGCUGUCCCCCACCCCCGCCCGUCCUCUCAAAGAUUAUAAACAGCACAACCCUCCUCCUUUGACACAGAGCUCCUCCACGCUCUCGGGAUGCCCCCCCGCCAGCACUUCAGUGGUAUAACCCACAAGGCGCUACCCCGGCCGCACUUGGUACGGCUCCCUCCCCAGCAGUUCCCCCACCUCCCCAAACACGCUCAAGGAACUGCUCCCACAGCCCCGAAUAGGUACGGCCCCCUACACUCGGAACUGACGUCAAAGAGCGAGAGAUGAACUCGGAGAGCGCUAGAGCGCAAGCGCAAGAAAGGGCAAGAGGCUGACUCAGAGCAGGACGCAUGCGUACAGCAGGCAAGUUUGGGUCGAUGUGGGUUACGGAGGUGCCACGCGCAAGCGCCCGACGGAAAGAAGAGACAGGAUGGCGCAGGCGCAGUAGGACUCUGACACCCGCUUUCCCUAAUGUCUCGCCGCAGUGAUACUUCCCGGCAGCCCCUGGUCUUUAUUUACAUACGCUUUGAUCUCGC